ensembl:lncRNA DARS1-AS1 DARS1 antisense RNA 1
CUUCUGGCUGCAUUCUAGGAAGAUCAUUCCUUAAAAGAAAUAGCCAUAUGGCUUAUAAGGUGCUAAAAGGAUAAUACCAAGGAAAACUAUGGGUGGGGGCAGUGAAUGGCCAGCAUGCCUAUAAUCCCAGCACUUGAAGCCAGGAGUUCGAGACCAGCCUGGGAAACAAAGCAAGACCCUGUGUCUAAAAAAAUUUUUUUAAAAAUAAGCUGGGCAUGGUGGCACGUGCCUAUAGUCCCAGCUACUCAGCUACUCGGGAGACCAAGACAUGGAAUAAACUUGACAAGUGCUAAAGAUGCUCUUUGAUUUUUGUGUGGCAUGAGACCUCAGGCUGAAACUUCUCAUCUGAGCCAUUGAAGGGAGCCUCUCAUCUCUCCACCGAGAGGGGAGACCAGAAUGGAGACAGCGCCUUUUCCCACUGCUCAGAAGAGGCCUAUUCUCCUGCUGACAUGUCUGCGUCACUCCUAUUGAUGCUAUGAUGAUCAUGAGCAUGAAGUUGCCAAAGAAACUGCUUCUCUGAGGAAAUUUCCAUGAGUGUGAAAUCAUGGGAAUCAAAAUUGAUGGGAAAGUCCCUCCGAGAGUGUGAAAAUUGCCAGGAUUCUUAUAGGAAAAGAGCUUAUGAUCAUCUCCUUCACCAUUUAGUCAGAUGCAUUUCUAUUGCCUUUGGAGAAAAUUGCCAAGCUCUGUUCAGUGCAAAAUGCUUCAUUUUUCUUCAAGUACUUUGGGUGGAUAUAUGUUUGUAAAAUUCGGAUUUUCAUAGUUUAUUUAGUCCAGCCCCAGCAUUCGACAGGCAAGGACACCCAAGAACAGAGGAAUGAAAUGACCUUAAGGUGUGACCUACAAGUUACAGCCAGAACCAGGAUACAAACCAAAGUCUUCUGCUUCUUUCUAUUGUACCUCCAUGCCUUGCACCCAGGGCAGAA